rnacentral:rRNA from 1 species
CAGCAGCCGCGGUAAUACGAAGGGUGCAAGCGUUACUCGGAAUUACUGGGCGUAAAGCGUGCGUAGGUGGUGGUUUAAGUCCGUUGUGAAAGCCCUGGGCUCAACCUGGGAAUUGCAGUGGAUACUGGGUCACUAGAGUGUGGUAGAGGAUAGUGGAAUUUCCGGUGUAGCAGUGAAAUGCGUAGAGAUCGGAAGGAACAUCUGUGGCGAAGGCGACUAUCUGGGCCAACACUGAUACUGAGGCACGGAAGCGUGGGGAGCAAACAGGAUUAGAUACCCCGGUAGUCCCUGUCUCUUAUAC